UAGGGAAUCUUCGGCAAUGGACGAAAGUCUGACCGAGCAACGCCGCGUGAGUGAAGAAGGUUUUCGGAUCGUAAAACUCUGUUGUUAGAGAAGAACAAGGACGUUAGUAACUGAACGUCCCCUGACGGUAUCUAACCAGAAAGCCACGGCUAACUACGUGCCAGCAGCCGCGGUAAUACGUAGGUGGCAAGCGUUGUCCGGAUUUAUUGGGCGUAAAGCGAGCGCAGGCGGUUUCUUAAGUCUGAUGUGAAAGCCCCCGGCUCAACCGGGGAGGGUCAUUGGAAACUGGGAGACUUGAGUGCAGAAGAGGAGAGUGGAAUUCCAUGUGUAGCGGUGAAAUGCGUAGAUAUAUGGAGGAACACCAGUGGCGAAGGCGGCUCUCUGGUCUGUAACUGACGCUGAGGCUCGAAAGCGAGGGGAGCAAACAGG
rnacentral:rRNA from 1 species